rnacentral:snoRNA from 1 species
CUUGGAUCUUUGGAACUUGUCCACCAACUGCAGCACAUUUUUGUUUAUUGGCAAAACUGUUGACCAGCGAAUUGGUGUCAGAUUCUGACUUGCACAAGUACCAUUC